UACGUAGGGGGCAAGCGUUAUCCGGAAUUAUUGGGCGUAAAGAGUGCGUAGGUGGUUUCGUAAGCGCGAGGUGAAAGGCAAUGGCUCAACCAUUGUAAGCCUUGCGAACUGUGAGAUUUGAGUGCAGGAGAGGAAAGUGGAAUUCCUAGUGUAGCGGUGAAAUGCGUAGAUAUUAGGAGGAACACCAGUGGCGAAGGCGACUUUCUGGACUGUAACUGACACUAAGGCACGAAAGCGUGGGGAGCAAACAGG
rnacentral:rRNA from 1 species